UACGGGGGGGGUAAGCGUUGCCCGGAAUCACUGGGCGUAAAGGGUGCGUAGGCGGGUCUUUAAGUCAGGGGUGAAAUCCUGGAGCUCAACUCCAGAACUGCCUUUGAUACUGAGGAUCUUGAGUUCGGGAGAGGUGAGUGGAACUGCGAGUGUAGAGGUGAAAUUCGUAGAUAUUCGCAAGAACACCAGUGGCGAAGGCGGCUCACUGGCCCGAUACUGACGCUGAGGCACGAAAGCGUGGGGAGCAAACAGG
rnacentral:rRNA from 1 species